CAGCAGCCGCGGUAAUACCGGCGGCCCGAGUGGCGGUCACUAUUAUUGGGCUUAAAGCGUCCGUAGCCGGGUUGGGAAGUCCUCCGGGAAAUCUGGCCGCUUAACGGUCAGAAUGCCGGAGGAUACUCCCAGCCUAGGGAGCGGGAGAGGCCGAGGGGAUUCCCGGGGUAGGGGGGAAAUCCUAUAAUCCCGGGAGGACCACCUGGGGCGAAGGCGCUCGGCUGGAACGCGUCCGACGGUGAGGGACGAAGGCCAGGGGAGCAAACCGGAUUAGAUACCCGGGUAGUCCUGGCUGUAAACGAUGCGGACUUUGUGUCGGACAAGCUAUGAGCUUGUCCGGUGCCGGAGGGAAACCGUUAAGUCCGCCGCCUGGGGAGUACGGCCGCAAGGCUGAAACUUAAAGGAAUUGGCGGG
rnacentral:rRNA from 1 species